GUGAGGAAUAUUGGUCAAUGGGCGAGAGCCUGAACCAGCCAAGUAGCGUGAGGGAUGACUGCCCUAUGGGUUGUAAACCUCUUUUGCAGGGGGGUAAAGUGGUUCACGUGUGGACCAUUGCAAGUACCCUGCGAAUAAGGAUCGGCUAACUCCGUGCCAGCAGCCGCGGUAAUACGGAGGAUCCGAGCGUUAUCCGGAUUUAUUGGGUUUAAAGGGUGCGUAGGCGGGGGUUUAAGUCAGCUGUGAAAUGCCGUGGCCCAACCAUGGAACUGCAGUUGAAACUUGACCUCUUGAGAGGACAUAAGGAAGGCGGAAUUCGUGGUGUAGCGGUGAAAUGCAUAGAUAUCACGAAGAACUCCGAUUGCGAAGGCAGCUUUCCGGGGUACAUCUGACGCUGAAGCUCGAAAGUGCGGGAAUCAAACAGGAUUAGAAACCCUAGUAGUCC
rnacentral:rRNA from 1 species